rnacentral:rRNA from 1 species
GUUGACCUCGGAUCAGGUAGGGAUACCCGCUGAACUUAAGCAUAUCAAUAAGCGGAGGAAAAU